ACCAUUUUACUUGGGAAUAUUGCAAGUCACCUAAAUGAAGGGACAAGGAAGAGAGUUUUGAUUAAUGCAUUUACUGUUUGUGCAUUGUGUGAUACUUUCUCGCCUGCCCGAGGAGCAGGGAUUAUGGCUCUAUGUGCCACCAGUGCUUAUUAUGACGUCACUGAGAUUGCAACUCGGAUUCUACCGAACG